rnacentral:rRNA from 1 species
CAACUUGAGAGUUUGAUCCUGGCUCAGAAUGAACGCUGGCGGCAGGCCUAACACAUGCAAGUCGAACGGGUUCCGAUGGCUUCGGUUAUUUGGACUAGUGGCGGACGGGUGAGUAACGCGUGGGAACAUACCCAAAGGUACGGAAUAGCCUCGGGAAACUGGGAGUAAUGCCGUAUGUGCCCCGUUAUAGAGAUAUGGCGGGGGAAAGAUUUAUCGCCUUUGGAUUGGCCCGCGU